rnacentral:rRNA from 1 species
UACAGAGGUCUCAAGCGUUGUUCGGAUUCAUUGGGCGUAAAGGGUGCGUAGGCGGCGCGGUAAGUUGGGUGUGAAAUCUCGGAGCUUAACUCCGAAACUGCAUUCGAUACUGCCGUGCUUGAGGACUGGAGAGGAGACUGGAAUUUACGGUGUAGCGGUGAAAUGCGUAGAUAUCGUAAGGAAGACCAGUGGCGAAGGCGGGUCUCUGGACAGUUCCUGACGCUGAGGCACGAAGGUCAGGGGAGCAAACGGG